GGGGGGGGGGGGGGGGGGGGCGGGGGCGUGGGGGGCGGGCGGGGGGGGGGGGGGGGGGGUCCGCGGGGGUGGGCGGGGGACGGGUGCGUAGCGCGUGGAGAACCUACCUAUGAGCCUGGGAUACCUUCGGGAAACCGUAGCUACUACCGGAUAAUAUAUUGCACCGCAGUGUCCCAUAGUAAAAGACGGUCUUUCUGUCACUUAUAGACUGAUCCGCGCGGCAUUAGCUGGUUGGUCAGGUACCGGCUUACCAAGGCAACGAUGCUUAGCCGACCUGAGAGGGUGGUUGGCCACACGGGAACUGAGACACGGCCCAGACUCCUACGGGAGGCAGCAGUAGGGAAUCUUACGCAAGGGGGGAAAGCUUGACGGAGCAACGCCGGGUGAGUGAUGAAGGUCUUCGGAUCGUAAAGCUCUGUUAUUAGGGAAGAACAAAUGUGUAAGUAACUGUGCACGUCUUGACGGUACCUAAUCAGAAAGCCACGGCUAACUACGUG
rnacentral:rRNA from 1 species